GAGGGGUCUUUUAACGCAGAUUUUUCCUUUUUGAUUAUCUUGUAAAUUUUUUUUUUUUGCUUUCUUAAGAUCAAAGAAAAAGCAAUUAGAAAUGGCAGAUCAACUUACCGAUGAUCAGAUCUCCGAAUUUAAGGAAGCCUUUAGUUUGUUCGACAAAGAUGGAGAUGGUUCGAUUCCUUUUUCUCUAUACGUGGAUCUAUCAAACUAUAUAUAUUCCUAGAUCUAGCUUAGAUUUUGUUAUUUGUGUUUUUUUUGGCACAAUUUUUUAGGAUUUUCUCAUGUAUAUAUUAAUAUUCUCAUGGUUGUUGGUUUUUCUUUAGCUCGAUUUGGAAUGGUUUGGUGUUAGAAUAAUGUCUUCUAAUUUGAAUUCAAUAUUGGAUCCCUGUUUGAGCAUUUUUGUUCGAAAUGUGAAUUCCGAUUUUCAUUGUUAGAAUCUGGAAAUUGUGUAGCCUGAGACAGAAAGCGAGAAAGAGGGAUUUUGAUGCUCUUCUUCUUUACAAAUUGGUUAUUGUAAUAAGAGUUAUAUAAUAAUUAAAGUCGAUUAUUAUAUAAACAGGAAUCAUGACAUAAUUUCUCAACAAGUAUGGUUCUACAUGUUUAGAUACAUAAAACCAUUUCAACUCUCUAUUUAAAUUGUUAUACACGUCUGUUUGUUCUUUUUUUGGAUCAUUAACAGAAUUAGUUAGUUAAAUAUUCAUUCAAACUGUAGAUUUGUUAUGCAACUUCUAGAUUUCUCUAGUUCAUUCUUUCCCCUGCAUAUAUAUUUUGUAUCAAGAAGCAUAUUGUUUCAAUUAUUCAAUACACAAAACAAAUUUUCAGAAUUGUUCAUGGUAUUGGAGCUUUCGUCUCUCAAUUUUUUUCAGCCUCAAGUCCUUCCUGUUGCUUCAAUGGCAAAUAACACUGCUGCUGCAACUUCUGUGGGUCAAAAUCUGUCCAGCCCUCAUUUUCUAUAUCCUAAUGAAAAUCUUGUUCUAGUUUCUCCUGUUCUUACAAGCAUGAAUUACCAUUCCUAGUCUCGAGCCAUGUGAAUGGCAUUUCUCUCUAAGAAUAAUCUCAAGUUUGUUGAUGGGUCAUUACCAGCUCGUUCAAGCACUGAUCAUUUGUAUCCUGCUUGGGACCGUUGCAAUACUUUGGUACUUUUUGGUUAAGUCAUUACUUGUUGCCUUCAAUUGCUCAGUGCUUAUUGUGGAUUGAUAAAGCUUUUGAUGUGUGAAAUGAUCUUAAAGAAAGGUUUUCUCAAGGAGACAUGUUCAGGAUUUCUGAUUUGGAAGAGAUCUAUGGCUUUUGACAAGCUGAUAGAUCAGUUACAGAUUUUUUUACUGAUCUAUCAGCUUGUUGAAUUUUUGACCUAUUCCUUCUUGUUCUUGUACAAAUCAGUGUCCUUGUUGUGCUUUAACGUCAGUAAAAUGGUAUUAAGGUAAUGACUAUGUGAUCAGAUUUCUCAUAGGACUAAAUGAUCAGUACACUACUGGCUUAUUGUCUUCCAAACCAGCACAAACACCUAUGGAUUCUCCUUUGAAAUUAAGCAAGGAUCAAGGUGAUUCUAUGGAGAAUGUUCCUCAGUAUAAAAGGGUAAUUGGUAGGCUUCUUUAAAUGACUUCCACCGGACCUGGUUUGUCCUUUGCAGUGCAAAAGUUAAGCCAAUUCAUGGACAAACCAAAUUUUGCUCAUCAGCAAGCUUUACUAGAUGCUUCAUUAUGUCUAAGGAUCACCUGGUUCAUGCUUUUUUUGUUUCCCCUGCAAAAUCUUAUUUGAUUUUGAAGGCAUUCAGUGAUUCAGAUUGGGCAGGUUGUGUAGAUUCUAGAAAGUCUGUCACAGGGUUUUGUAUAUUUGUUGGAUCAAGACUUUGCGAGUUCCAGAAUUUCAGAAUAUUAUCCUCAAGCUAGGAAUGUUGAAUAUCCAUUCUCUAGCUUGUAGGGUUGGGAGAGGGGGUGGGGGGUUGGAUCAUUUACAAAAUCAGUUAGUUAAAUAUUCAUUAGCAUGUGUAGAUUAGUUAUGCAAAUUCUAGUAAUACAUGAAGAUUAGUUAUGCAGCUAGAAUUCUCUAUUUCAUUCUUUCUCCUGCAUAUAUAUUUUGUAUGAAGAAGUUUACUGUUUUAAUUAUCCAGUACACAAAACAAAUGUUCUAAAUUGCUCAUUCUUCAUACAAGAUACUUAUUGCAGCAUGAUUACAUUCCAUAAAAUGAUUCCAACUUUCUCAUGUAGGUUAGUUUUUCCUCCUAAUAGAGAGCAUUAUUACUUUCUUGAUAUGUCUCUGACCAUGGAUCUUAAUUGGAAGGAUCUUUUUUUUUUAACUUAAUUAGUUUACAAUGUCAGGUUGCAUUACCACAAAGGAG
rnacentral:misc_RNA from 1 species